rnacentral:lncRNA from 1 species
UGGUGUAAUUUCAAUUGUACUUUAUAAUGUUGGUAAUUUUGUAAUUUUCCUUACAUUUUUAUUAAUGCUUUUUGACCUUUCAAUUUCUUUGGCGACAUCAAAUGUAUAUUGUUAUUAUUAUGCAAGUAUAUUACCUUCGCUCAUUCAUAGAAAUAAAUAAAAAACAAUGUCAUCAAAUAGUUUUAAUUAUAUUCUUCUAAAAUAAAUAUCAUCAUAAAAUAAGAUGUCACUAUCCAAAACCAAUAAUAAAUUUUGAAUUUUUGAGAUAACUGUGUGAUGCCUUAAUCACUAGUAAAUAUAUC